GACCUGACAUUUCACAGCUGCCGUUCGUCUGGUGAUUGCGACUCCUCCGCCAUCCUCCAUUGUGUGCAGAUAGUUCUGUCUGUGUCUGUUAUAGACACAGUUCAGUGAGCCCUGUGUGGGUUGGUAUAGCCUUGAGGGCUAGGUGAUAAUGUAAAAUAUGAUAUUGAUAUCACCUAGCCUUAAUUAAUUUGCACCCAUACUCCUGCGUGAAGAGGUACGGAAACAAAACCUAAAAUGCGUCCGAAAUCACCCCUUCCCGCUCCUGUCGAACAUUGCACAGUGGCUUCGGAGUUCGCUAAUGAAUUAUUCUUUCUAUUCAUAAAAAGCAUUUUGAAAUCGGUCAAAAAAUUAAUAUAAAAAGCAAAAUUUAGCUACCGGAGCGGUUUCGAUUUGCUUACCUUCCACGUGUUCUUGAUGAUAAUUCGUAAAAGUGCGAUUUACAAGACAAAAACGCUGACCUCUUAAGAGAGUUCGCGGUAUACUCGUAAAAAACUUUUUUUUGCGAAUUUCCAAUUCAAAUACUUACUUACGAUAAUAGCAAUUAGUCUAAAAAGGCGCGCGCGCAAGGAGUUCGCUAAAUUCAGCGAAAUCUGUGCAUGCGGUUUCGUAUAGUAUAUACUAAACGCUACUAUCGUAAAGAUAAUAUAUAGGGCACCAGAUUUUCCUGUUAGCUCAUCAUGCACCUUGUGGCCGUACGGCAGCCGAGACCAUCUUAGUUGUCAACAGUAGAAAGGCGGGCUGGUGUUCCAGUGACAGAAGACGAGGAUAUCAACAUCGUCAUCCCCUCGUAAAAACGUCCAAGGAAUUCAAGGUACCCUACCAAGCAGGAGACCAUCCAGCACGCUGACAUCGACCAAAUACUUCCCUACUCCAGGACAUUGAACCGGAGGAGUCGAUUUCUUCCUUUCCACGUAGAGUGAUAUCAAGAGGACGACGACGCAGCAAUAUUCUGAACAGUUCAACAAAGGUUGUUAACUGUGCAUUCUUCCAAAGUGUCAACGGAGACCCAAAGGAAACCAAAAAGGACUUUGGCGGACAGAGUCUAAGAUUGCUGGGCGGUUCACCACCUUCGCGAAGAAGCGUUUUGGUAGAUGAAAGCAUACAUCAAUAAAUACUUCUAAAAUUGACCUUUCCAUAUUUCAAACUAUCAACGGACCUGAAACUCCUGUCUAUCAAUAUUUUCUAUACGAGAGUAGCAAUUCAACUUGAUUGGCCAACAUCUCGCCAACAAACAAAAUCAGUUUCACUGCUAGUACUGCAAUGAAAAUUGAGGUAACAUUAUUAGAGAGCGAGUGCACGAAUUAGUUGAAGUACAACGUCCUACUGAGGCCGAAGAAGAUCCAGUAAAACUAAGUCCCGAAUUGUAAUAGUGCUCCAUCGGAACUGGUACUUCCUACUCUUGAUGGAAAGCGAAGUUAGAAAACGGAAAUGCAUUUCAGAUAUAGUUGGUCGGUAGAAAAUACAGGGUAGAGAGGUUUAGCAAAUGGGGAUAUGAAUAAACAUGACAGAUGAUGGCAAUGUGAUAUAAAAAAAUUCAAUACAUGGAAAUAUCUGGUAGAAAACUUGCCAGCUUGUCAUACAGAUUUUAUGUGUUUUUUGAAGAAAAAAAGAAUAAUCCACUCUAUGUUUUGUAUUACAUAUUACAUUUCAGAAGUUGUUAGUGGUUUGAAAAUAAGAGUCUGGGAUUUGAUGACAUAAAUGUUGAGGUGUACGAAAAUAUUAUCUGCUUUAUUUUACAACCACUGUGUAGUAUUUAUAAUUUUCCAUUAGUAUUUGGAAUAUUUUCUGGCUGACAAACUGAAAAGUAGAUCCAGUGUUCAAUUAGAGAACUAAAGACAAUGUAUCAAAGUAUAGACCAAUUUCCUUAUUGUCUGUAUGCACAAAGACGUUUGAAAGAUUAUUUACACGAAUCCUAUGAAACAUAUUUAGAUAAAUCCCACAAUGUUGCUGAUGUAUUUGAACAAAAGAAAUGUUUAAUCGGAAUCUAUUUAGAUCUUUCAAAAGCCGUUGAUUGUAUAAACCUUAA